rnacentral:lncRNA from 1 species
GUAAAUAAUAAAAUCAAGUUGGCAGGCUGGUAAUGUGCUUGAAAUUGAUUUUUUGUAGCAGCAGGACAACAAGCGAGACGGAGUGAGGACCAGGGAUAGACACAGGAACAGGCACUGGGUACGGACAGGACCAACAAUUGGCUACGGGGAGCAGCGGGAUGUCUCGGUAAAUAUUUGGUCAAAAAAUUGCCGUACAGGUGUUGAGUUCUCUGUUUGUUUAGUUUGUAGCUGGAGUCGGGCAUGGAUUUAAGGCAGUUUCAGUGGAUCUCUCGAGGACACCACGGAUAAGGGCUUCAAUUUUCACUCACAGUCGGGCACUCGCCAUGCAAAGUAGAAUUUGUUUCGGAGCUGGCGCUGUCAGCUGAAAUGCUUGCGCUGGAAAGCAACGAAAUCCCCUAAAUCAAUAAAAGUUUCGAUGGCUU